rnacentral:rRNA from 1 species
GACGAACGCUGGCGGCGCGCUUAACACAUGCAAGUCGAGCGAAGCGGCGGACGGGUGAGUAACACGUGAGUAACCUGCCUUAGACAUUGGGAUAGCCUCGGGAAACCGGGAUUAAUACCAAAUGGUCUAAGAUGGACUCGCGUCCCAUUAGCUAGUUGGUGGGUAACGGCCCCCCAAGGCGACGAUGGGUAGCCGGGCUGAGAGGGUGAACGGCCACAUUGGAAAUGAGAAACGGUCAAAACUCGACGGGAGGCAGGAGUGGGGAAUAUUGCACAAUGGAGGGAAGUCUGAUGCAGCGACGCCGCGUGAACGAAGAAGGCUGUCGAGUCGUAAAGUUCUUUUAUAUGGGAAGCGGUACCAUAAGAAAAAGCACAGGCUAACUACGUGCCAGCCGCCGCGGUAAUUC